rnacentral:rRNA from 1 species
AUUGAACGCUGGCGGCAGGCCUAACACAUGCAAGUCGAACGGCAGCGGGGGAUAGCUUGCUAUCCUGCCGGCGAGUGGCGGACGGGUGAGUAAUGCAUGGGGAGCUGCCCAGUCGAGGGGGAUAACAACUGGAAACGGUUGCUAAUACCGCAUACGCCCUGAGGGGGAAAGGUGGGGAACUUCGGUCCUACCGCGAUUGGAUGCGCCCAUGUGGGAUUAGCUAGUUGGUGAGGUAACGGCUCACCAAGGCGACGAUCUCUAUCUGGUCUGAGAGGAUGACCAGCCAAACGGGAAAUGAGACACGGUCCAGACUCCGACGGGAGGCGGCAGUGGGGAAUAUUGCACAAUGGGGGAAACCCUGAUGCAGCCAUGCCGCGUGUGUGAAGAAGGCCUUCGGGUUGUAAAGCACUUUCAGUCAGGAGGAAGGGGUGAUGGCUAAUAUCCAUCAUCAUUGACGUUACUGACAGAAGAAGCACCGGCUAACUCCGUGCCAGCCGCCGCAGUAAAAC